GAACGCUAGCUACAGGCUUAACACAUGCAAGUCGAGGGGCAGCAUGGUCUUAGCUUGCUAAGACUGAUGGCGACCGGCGCACGGGUGAGUAACACGUAUCCAACCUGCCGUCUACUCUUGGACAGCCUUCUGAAAGGAAGAUUAAUACAAGAUGGCAUCAUGAGUCCGCAUGUUCACAUGAUUAAAGGUAUUCCGGUAGACGAUGGGGAUGCGUUCCAUUAGAUAGUAGGCGGGGUAACGGCCCACCUAGUCUUCGAUGGAUAGGGGUUCUGAGAGGAAGGUCCCCCACAUUGGAACUGAGACACGGUCCAAACUCCUACGGGAGGCAGCAGUGAGGAGUAUUGGUCAAUGGGCGAGAGCCUGAACCAGCCAAGUAGCGUGAAGGAUGACUGCCCUAUGGGUUGUAAACUUCUUUUAUAAAGGAAUAAAGUCGGGUAUGUAUACCCGUUUGCAUGUACUUUAUGAAUAAGGAUCGGCUAACUCCGUGCCAGCAGCCGCGGUAAUACGGAGGAUCCGAGCGUUAUCCGGAUUUAUUGGGUUUAAAGGGAGCGUAGAUGGAUGUUUAAGUCAGUUGUGAAAGUUUGCGGCUCAACCGUAAAAUUGCAGUUGAUACUGGAUAUCUUGAGUGCAGUUGAGGCAGGCGGAAUUCGUGGUGUAGCGGUGAAAUGCUUAGAUAUCACGAAGAACUCCGAUUGCGAAGGCAGCCUGCUAAGCUGCAACUGACAUUGAGGCUCG
rnacentral:rRNA from 1 species